AAAUGUGAAUACUGAUUGUUGAUAACAAAGAAGAAGAAAAAAGACUUGUUUUAAUUUCAACUUAAAUAAUAAAAACAUUGAUUAUAAUAACAACAUUACGGUUUGUUCGAUUUCUUCAUUUCUCGAUUGUUUGGUAAUUGAUGGUAAACUGUAGGCGAUAAUAUUAUUAAAAUUAUUAAAUAAUAUACAUAUUUGUGGUAAUUGAUAUUACUUGGUUGUUAUGGAAAUUGCGAUUUAUUAAAAUUAUAAAAUUCAAAACAAAUAUUGCCAAGGAAUAACUACGUUAUUGUAUUGUGAGACUGUGAGGAAACAAUAAACAUCAAAGUAAAAUGGUUUACAUAUCUCAAAGUGGAAAUUUACACGAAACUGUUCCCAUGAAGAAAAAAAUUGUAGACACAUUUUGGGGUGUCAUAAACUUUGUUUCAUUUUUUGUUCAAAGUUUAGUAAGGCCUAACUUAACUAGAUGGGGUAAUCAAUAUACAGUUACUUACAGACGUCCUGGUUCUUCUUCAAGCGGGACUGUGAGACCUCAACGACGUUUUGGUGGAUUUGGCCCUAGUACAUCUGCCCCAGCUCCUCCAUCAACAUGUAGUAGCUGUAUGGGAUGAAUGUUUGUUAACCUAAUAUAUAAUUAUUAAUUUACCUAAUCACAAUUACAAUUAAUUAAUAAACAGAUAAAAAUAAUCUAGUCUUACUCGUAUAUCAGAGUAAAAUUUAUUAUUGAACAUUAAAUAGUAUUCAAUUAUUUUAACUUUCACUAAAAAAUAAUUAUAUUAAUAUGUUAAAAGUGUUAUUUAAAUAUAAUUUUAUGAUUAUUUGAAAUAUAUCCAAUAUAUUGAAUAAUAAUGGACCAAUAAUUUAAGUAGUUAAGAAUAAAAAAAAAAAAAUGUAAACCAUAAUAGUAUAUUAAUCUGUAUUUUAUUGCUUAUUUAUUUGACAAGUAUUUGUUUAAAUAUACACAUUAUUAAUAUUAAUCACGA